AUGGGUAGCUCUCCUCGUCGCACCUCCGUCUCUCUCCCUUUCUUCCGCCCCCUCCGUCUCUCCUCCCAGCUCCGGCUGACGGCCACCGAAGACCUCCAUGGCUCCAUAUCCACCGCCGCCCUGGCAGUCCACUCGCCGCCGUCCCGUAAAGCUCCUCUCGCUGACGCCCCGUUCAACUCCUGGCGCGCCGCCUCUAAUCAAGAUCCGACGCACCGCCAUAGGGUUCCGAUGUGCCACUGCCGGAACCAGUUGAGCUGCCCUUGACCGGCGUUCGUCGUCCUCGCCGACUACCCCGACUAGCUGGCUUCUUCCCGCCCGGUGACCUGCAUCUUCAUCCUGUACUGCCGGCAUGUACGGCGGCCACACCGAAGGCUGGCUACUAGGCCGUAGACGAGACGGGUUCAGACCUGCGUACAUGGAGUUCGACUAGCGGCAGACCACACCAGACCCUUGCUGCUUGGCUGCCCGCCCGGUGAUUCCAUGACUACCUUCUCAAAUUUGAUUGGAACUCCUCUUUGUGCACCUUGUAAUGUCUUCAUAUGCCCUGAACAGCUCUAACACAGAUAAGACUGGGACUGCCAGAAUGGAAAUCCCAGUUCUGUUGAGAGAAGUUUGGUGAAAGGUUUUCUGCAGACUCCAGCUGUGUGCCCUUCCAAAAUGCUACGGAAUAUUUAUGGGCUGUGAAGAUUCCACAAUACAAAUGCUCUACCCAUCAGGGCAUUGCAAAGUCUUCGAUUUAUUUCAUGGAGAUGAAAGGAAUACUAUCCUGCGAGAGAAUAUCUUCCCAAGGAACUCAAACGUUCUUGCAAAUUUACGGAAGUGUCUGAGUGCGUACAAUGAAAAAACUUUCAAUAUACACUAAGUAGUGGAGGCAUGUGCAAAAUGAAACCUGAUGAGUAUUAUGUUCAGAGUUUCAGAGUUUUGUAGGGUGAUUAUAUGUCAAUGUAGUUUACCUGAUGCAAUAAAGAGUUCCACCAUUAAAUGAAAGUAUGACUUACAUGUAGAUAACUUUGUAUUUCGAGUGCUUUUAUAUUUUGUAUGUCCAUGCAGUUAUUUGGUUUUGUACAGUCUAUUUUUUUAUUGUAGAUUUGCAUCAAUUGCACCAUUUUUGUUUACCUCACUAUCCAUGCAUAUACUACUUACCCACUCUAAAACAUCCCCAUGUUAAAAAACAAACAGAGAAGAUCUGAACCUUCUAUUCUUGAGUGAAAAGUGUUUUUCCAGUCAUGGGGAGAACAGUUUGACUCUGUUGUUAAUUAUGUCAUCUGACUUAUAUUCGCAGUUUUGUCCCAGCUAUGCGGAAUCUAAUUUUGGCUCCCCAAAUUCAGGUUGGUCUCAAGUUUGUGGAUAAAAUGGCGUGGAUAAGAGAAUAGAUAAGAUAUAAAUUUGUUUUCUUACGUUAUUAACAAUAUCAAGCAAUUCAGCAAACUUUAAGGGAAGAUCAUGUCGUCACCCCUGAGAAGACCAGGUUCUUAUGACAGACUAAAUUACUCCUAUGAAACCAAAUUUGUGAUGCCAGUUGUUGCUGUUCUAAAAUUGCUUCACAGUUUCAAUGUUACCGCUCACAUUCUGUGAAAGCCUUAAGUUACAUAUGCCUUUUCUUGCGCAUGAAGAUAGGUCAUUUUGCUAGAGUAUCGCUGAAAAAGAUAUAUUUCUCGGUGUUUCUCCCCCACAUCUUUACAGCUUAAAACAAAGAGUAUAUAUGGGUCAUACCUCUUUGAUUUGAAACAGCUCUGAUUGUUUCUUGCUUCCAGGGAUUCCUUCAUAUGGCAGUAGCAUGUCAAAUUAUCAUGACAAGUAUGCCUCUGUUUUUUUUGUGCCACUUCUUCGGAUGAUGAUUACCGUUGCAUCUUUAAACUGUAGAAACACGAGACGUAGCAGACAUGUGUGGAUGAACCAGGGAGAAGAAGGUGACCCUUCAGCUGAUAGAGGCAGGCAAGAUAAGGAAACUCUCAGGCUGCCGAGGUUUGAGAGAGAUUGGUGGUUUCACUAGGGAUCACCGAGCUCCGUCUGUACGUGCAUCAUGCUAUGCCAUUAAGAAGCGACCAACCCCUUUUGAAAAGAAGAUGACAAGAAAAUGUUUGUCUACUGUGGUGCGUUUGCAACUUCGUAGGUUCUUAAUCAAUUGUGUUCAAGGAAAUUGAUUGAAUAUUGGACAAAUCACUUUCUAAAUAGUCAACUUGGGAUAGAAUUUUGAUACCUUAAGUCACGAGAAUUUAAGUAAUUGUUUAUGGAGGCUUCAAUCAA